CUGGCUCAGGAUGAACGCGGGCGGCGUGCCUAAUACAUGCAAGUCGAACGAAUAUGUAGCAAUACAUGUGAGUGGCGAACGGGUGAGUAACGCGUUGGUGACCUGCCCCGAAGUGUGGGAUAACAGUUCGAAAGAACUGCUAAUACCGCAUGUGAUCCCCGGGUUUAGAAACCGGUGAUUAAAGGAGUAAUUCGCUUCGGGAUGGACCUGCGUCCCAUCAGCUAGUUGGUAGGGUAACGGCCUACCAAGGCUUUGACGGGUAAGGGACCUGAGAGGGUGGUCCCUCACAAUGGCACUGAAACACGGGCCAUACACCUACGGGUGGCAGCAGUAGGGAAUAUUGGGCAAUGGACGAAAGUCUGACCCAGCAACGCCGCGUGUGCGACGAAGGUCUUCGGAUCGUAAAGCACUUUUCUGGGAGAUGAGAAAGGACAGUAUCCCAGGAAUAAGUCUCGGCUAACUACGUGCCAGCAGCCGCGGUAAAACGUAGGAGACGAGCGUUAUCCGGAUUUACUGGGCGUAAAGCGCGUGCAGGCGGUUCGGCAAGUUGGAUGUGAAAUCUCCCGGCUCAACUGGGAGAGGUCGUUCAAUACUACCGGACUUGAGGAUGGUAGAGGAAGGUGGAAUUCCCGGUGUAGUGGUGAAAUGCGUAGAUAUCGGGAGGAACACCAGUGGCGAAAGCGGCCUUCUGGACCAUUCCUGACGCUCAGACGCGAAAGCUAGGGGAGCGAACGGGAUUAGAGACCCCGGUAGUCCUAGCUGUAAACUAUGUAGACUUGGCGUCGGUGGGUUAAAAACCAUCGGUGCCGUAGCUAACGCGAUAAGUCUACCGCCUGGGGACUACGGCCGCUAGGUUAAACUCAAAU
rnacentral:rRNA from 1 species